UUGAGGCAUUGCUGGGGCUGGGCAGUCGUGUUCCCUGAGGUUUUCUCUGCUGGUUGUGGACGUUUGAAAGGGUGAGUGCUGGCGCCUGAGGUGCAAGCCAUCGCCACUCGCUGCUUCGCUCUCAGGCUUCGUCCCCUUCUGGAGGCCGCCCUGGGGGCUCGCUGUGGGUACUCACACAGUUGCCGUCGGGUAGCUGGUCAGACCCAUGCUGCUACCGCUUGGACCGCUUGUUUGAAGGGCCGGCCUUUAUAUCUGAGUUUUGACCAUAAGCUGGUGCAGAGUAGGUCAAAGAACUCCUGGGUGUGUCUGGGUAGAGUGGUAAGGGUGCCGCUUGUUCCAGGUUUCGCCAUCUUUAUCUCUUUCGCUGUGUGCCUUUCUAUGCUGAGUUGUGGCUGCAUCAGGCCACAUGUAGUGAAGCUCGGCUUGUCCGCCAUCUUGGGCACCGCCGCUUCCAUUCUGCUUGGAAGUUCAGCGGCUGCUAUGAUGUCUCGGCUUGUAGUUUUCC